UAGGGAAUCUUCGGCAAUGGACGAAAGUCUGACCGAGCAACGCCGCGUGAGUGAAGAAGGUUUUCGGAUCGUAAAACUCUGUUGUUAGAGAAGAACAAGGACGUUAGUAACUGAACGUCCCCUGACGGUAUCUAACCAGAAAGCCACGGCUAACUACGUGCCAGCAGCCGCGGUAAUACGUAGGUGGCAAGCGUUGUCCGGAUUUAUUGGGCGUAAAGCGAGCGCAGGCGGUUUCUUAAGUCUGAUGUGAAAGCCCCCGGCUCAACCGGGGAGGGUCAUUGGAAACUGGGAGACUUGGGUGCAGAAGAGGAGAGUGGAAUUCCAUGUGUAGCGGUAAAAUGCGUAGAUAUAUGGAGGAACACCAGUGGCGAAGGCGGCUCUCUGGUCUGUAACUGACGCUGAGGCUCGAAAGCGUGGGGAGCAAACAGG
rnacentral:rRNA from 1 species